rnacentral:tRNA from 1 species
UCCGGCGUGGUCUAGUGGCUAGGAUAUCUGGUUUUCACCCAUAAGGCCCGGGUUCGAUUCUCGGCGUCGGAA